AAGAUCAGAAUUGGGAGAGGGCUUCUACGCACCACCAAACCAUGCCGGGCAGCAUCCGAGUCUCAGACAUUCAGCCACCGGUCGCCGCUCCACUCUUCUUGCAAGUUAACCUCGGGAAAAAAGAGUACAGCGGAUAUAUAGGACAAGAUGGCUUCUCUUUUCCAGUUACAUCACUUCGUGAUAGCAUGGUGUUGUCGCUGUACGAUGCAGACAAGGAAUUGGUAUCCAAAACAGAAUUGAAGACAAGGUCGAUUGUCGAGCAGGGGAGUACGGAUGUUGUGUUUAGCCUUGAUAGUGGAGGGCAAAUUGUUCUCCAAUUGCAGUUCUUGCUCAGUGAUGAAGAUCGCAAACGCAUCCAAGAAAUGAGGAACUCUGCGAUGAAAAGAAAGCAGCAAGAGCUGUUUGGGAAUGGCGACGAACUUUCUUUCCAAGACAACACACCACCUAAAGAGCAGGCAGAAGAGAUCUCCGACAUCACAAGCACAGAAGACCGACUCACGCUCCGGAAGAGCAUGUCGAUGGAUGAUCUGAAAGGGAAGGCUGUCUUUUCCGAAAUAAGCAUAGAUACGAAUAUGGCGUCUCCAAAGAACCCGCCGUUGCAAACUUCGACGUCCGAAGGCCCCAUUGACAUAAAGGGUCUACCGCCGAAAAGUGACAUUGGCUCUAAGAGAGGGCAGGGUGAACUGGAGAGCAGGUCGAGCAGCGCGGUGAAGAAGAUGAUCAGCGCCUUCGAGAGCAGCUCUCUGCAGGGACCGCCUUCGGUGCCAAUGAUCAAGUUGGAAGGGUCGUUGGAAGGGAUGCUAUCGGCUUCCACCAAUCCUCCAGACAAGUCAUCUGGCAAAGUGACCGUUACUUCUGGUGAUAUAGGUUCUGAGUCGCGGUUAGGAAGGCACAUCAUCAACAAGAAACCAAGCGCGUCUAGACAGGGCGAUUUGUUGAAUGCUCAGGAGAGCAGAAGACGGGGUUCCAGCAGGCGCGACAGAGCAGCCAAGACGAGCAUGGGAGAGAAUGCAGAAAAGCAAAAUCACCAUCGUCGCUCCAUCGCUCCAAUGCGUUCGGGGGUGACAUCUAGCAUCGCCUGGACUGGCCACCCCCACAUCUGCAUCACCACCGGGAGCAGGCAGCUGAAAGACCUCGUCGGGCUUAAGCACCUGAAUUCGAUGAAGAACAUAGAGCAGAGCGCAAGGGAAGAAGACACCAAACAAGGCACAAGCAACGACGACGCGGUGGGCUCCAAGCGGCGGCGAUUUUACGGGUUCCCUGCACUAAAUGGGUGGCUGAUCAACCAGGGGGUGCGCGGCGUGAUCGUCAUCAUAGCCUGCGGCGCGGUGUUCCUCAACAACAGGUGAAGGAAGGAAGAAGAGGACUUGAUACAAGAAGUUGCGGUCGAUGAGAUUUUCCUCUAGUUAACACUUGUUUGCUGGGAAUGCACCGAAGAGUUUUUCUUUCUUUGGGCAAUGAAAAAAGAGAUUAGGGAGUGAAAGGUAUGUAAAGACAACAUGAUUCUAGAGUAACUCUCUAACACACCCACGAGUGCCUCAUUAUCAAGGCUCUCAAGCACACAGUUUCAAUCAUUGUUGCUGAAACUUUUGUUUUCACGCGACCGUAUUGUGCCAAAUAAGUGAUCAUGUAUAAGGUUUCACGAUGGCUUAAUUUUGGGUACCAUGGACCAAUAUAUUUAUCUAUUU
rnacentral:rRNA from 1 species